rnacentral:rRNA from 1 species
CCUACGGGAGGCAGCAGUGAGGAAUAUUGGUCAAUGGCCGAGAGGCUGAACCAGCCAAGUCGCGUGAGGGAAGACGGCCCUACGGGUUGUAAACCUCUUUUGUCGGGGAGCAAAGCGAGUCACGUGUGACUCAUUGAGAGUACCCGAAGAAAAAGCAUCGGCUAACUCCGUGCCAGCAGCCGCGGUAAUACGGGGGAUGCGAGCGUUAUCCGGAUUUAUUGGGUUUAAGGGGUGCGCAGGCGGGGGUGCAAGUCAGCGGUAAAAUUGCGGGGCUCAACCCCGUACUGCCGUUGAAACUACAGCCCUUGAGUGCGCGAGAAGGAGGCGGAAUGCGGGGUGUAGCGGUGAAAUGCAGAGAUAUCACGCAGAACUCCGAUUGCGAAGGCAGCAUACCGGCGCGCAACUGACGCUCAUGCACGAAAGCGUGGGGAUCGAACAGGAUUAGAUACCCUGGUAGUC